rnacentral:rRNA from 1 species
CUUAGCGGCGGACGGGUGAGUAACGCGUGGGUAACCUGCCUUAUACAGGGGGAUAACAGUUAGAAAUGACUGCUAAUACCGCAUAAGCGCACGGGAACGCAUGUUUCUGUGUGAAAAACUGAGGUAGUAUAAGAUGGACCCGCGUCUGAUUAGCUGGUUGGUGGGGUAACGGCCUACCAAGGCGACGAUCAGUAGCCGGCCUGAGAGGGUGACCGGCCACAUUGGGACUGAGACACGGCCCAAACUCCUACGGGAGGCAGCAG